rnacentral:rRNA from 1 species
CCCUUAGAUGUCCGGGGCCGCACGCGCGCUACACUGACAAAGGCAACGAGCUACUCUUCACCGAAAGGUGUGGGUAAUCUUUUGAAACUUUGUCGUGCUGGGGAUAGAUCCUUGCAAUUUUUGAUCUUAAACGAGGAAUUCCUAGUAAGCGCAAGUCAUCAACUUGCGUUGAUUACGUCCCUGCCCUUUGUACACACCGCCCGUCGCUACUACCGAUUGAAUGGUUUAGUGAGGCCUUCGGAUCCGCGACUCGUUUGUGGAGAAGUUGGACAAACUCAGUCAUUUAGAGGAAGUAAAAGUCGUAACA